GAGCUACAGCGCAUGUGUCGAAGCUUCCGGUAUCAGAGGACCAUCACUAUCUGGUAGCGUCUCUGGCUGCUGUUGACCUUGUUUUUGGUGUAAAACACGGUGGAAGCUGAAUUAGUGAGGAUGACUCCUGCUCCUGUCAUCUCUAAGCUCCUCACACAUCUUUACCUGCACAUGAGGAAAAUCACUCCUGUAGAAUGCAGAUGUUCAGAGGGAGAUGAUGCCACAUCUGGUCCAGCUGAUGGAAGGUCUUGAAGUUCUCUGACUGGCCUCGACUGAAGAUAGUCGUCUCACUGGAUUUAAGGUUCAGAUGCUCAGUAACAAACUCCACCAAUGAGCCAACAGGGAAGCUUUAGGUUUAUUAAAUGUUGCUAUGAAAGUUUCGCUGUUUUUCUUUGUGAAUGCAAUGUGCUCCAACUGAAACUUGAAUUAGAACUUAGAAGUAAAUCCUUCCAUCUGAAAGGAUUUAGUUGCAUUAAUAACCUCAUAACAUUCUAAUUUUUAUUCCAGUCUUAGUUGGAAAUAGAAUCUCUGUAUUGAUUCAGGUAAAAACUGAACUUCACAGCAUGUUGAAGCAAAACAACCAGAUGAAAACUGUGAUGGUGUUGGAUUGUCAGACCGUAUUGUUGCAGCUCAAAGCAGCUUUUCUAUCUCAGUUCAUUCUGACAUUCAGCUAUGAAUCAACACAGCAGAUGGUGAUCCAUGCUGUGGAAGUCUCACAUCUCCUGAUUUAAUGGAGCUGCUUUGCACUUUUUACACUGUUUAUUCACCAACACUUUAUUUAAUAAAAGUCCCAUCUAGUUUUUAUGAGGAAUGUGAUGUUUUAAUUUCUCUGUGAAUAACUGCAGUCUAAUGCAACAGCUGGAGUUGUAACAUCUGUCCUGAUAUUGAUCAUGAAGUAUUGAUCAGAAUACUUAUGGUUAGCAGUCAUCCCUGAAGUUUUACAUUAAAAUCUUUACUUGUGUUGUGAACUUUGGUAAGAAGCAGAAACGUUAGCGUUGCCAUGGAUACAUGAGUGUUAAAUUCUGUCCAUGUUUCCAUUUUGGGAAAUUCAGUCCAGUUCCAGAAUGUGGAGGAAUUUAGUCUCACAAUCACAGACAAUAAAUAUUAUCUGAAAGUCGGGUUAUUGUUGUUUAUCAGCACAAUAUAAAAAGAUUAAUGGUAGAAAUAUUCCAGUUAAGACUCUAGAAUAUCAUGAUUUAUGUAAAUUUACUUCAAUAAUAUGAAUGUUCAGGUUAAGAUUGUACAGUGAUAUUUAUUAUGUAAGUUUAGCUGAUUAAAGUUUAUGACUCUGCACUAAAACAUUAUUUAAAUUGACAUCAUUAUUAUAAUAUUUAGGGUCAGACCCUACAGUAUUGAGAUUAAGAAAUCAAAUAUUGUAUAAAAUGUAAAUACACUGAACUCAUUUGGAUAUAUUUAAGUGAGACUCUACAAUAGUAUUUGACACAAAUCUAUCUAAAUCAAAAUUUUAAUAAUUUUCACGCCAAACAUUUACUGGACUGAUUUAAACAUUAAAAUCACCCCUUUCUAAUCCUCUGCUGUACGUUCAAACCUGAGGCCUUAAAUAGAAACACACAAGUAUCUGAUUGAAGGAACUUCUGCAGAGUCCUGGUUCCAGAACAUGAUGAUAGAAUUAUAGACAAACUUUAACAAAAGCUGCCUGAGAGUUUACAGGUUUUUAUGUUGGAUUUCUUCAGUAAUUUAAUGAGAGUUAUCAGCAAUAAUCAAGUGUUCAUUUGAUGAACUUCAUUUCCUAAAACAUCCAGAAUUGGAGCUCAUAUCUUUGGCAGCUGUAAAGUUUCUGCUCCUUCAAAGUUCACAACACAAUGAAUGAAUUCCUAAAACACUCUCAAUGCUGGAGAGCGUUUGUGAUGCUGAAGCAGUGACCAGUUUUUCUGUUUCUUCUCUGGAGAUGCACAAUGAGGGACGUCUGCAGAGACUGAGAAAGAGUCUCACCACAUCCUGACAUGAGGAAAAAGACUUUAUUGAAGACUACAAUGAGAAAAACUAUCAGACAGCAGACAGCUGCAUUCAAGUCUGUAGCUGCUGAAUUCAUGGAUGAAUCAUCUGGCACUAGAGAAGAAGACCAUCAAACAUCCAUGUCAGCUGAUGGAGGUCCAAGAGUCUCACCAAACAAACAACCUACAGAGUGAAGACCUCAAAUCUGAUUGGACGGCCUCCUAUUCAGCCACGUGUGAACAAAUGCCUCUAAAUAAGACAAGUACAAGAUUCUUCAGAGCCGUUCUACUACGAGCCUGACAGGAAGAACUCCAACAGCUACUGAAUGUUCCUGUGGUUCCCUCAAGGCUACAGGAGGAGCCCUACGAGUACGAGCCGGUCCACCUGAUGGCGGCCAGUCGCUGUGGUUCAAAGCCAACACCGACUACGUGGACUUCUACUGGACCACACGGAGGCCUUCAAACCGGACCAACAAGUUCACCGACUCCCCGACUCGUGGGUCUGAGGACGCCGCCGAGCCUCGGUCCAGCCGGCCUCCUGUCUGUGGGUGUUUGAGUGCUGAGAGGUUUGUGGAUGCAUGUGAACGUGUCUGUGUUGAAACAGCAGCUUUUGACUCAGUAACGCUGGGAAAAACCAAGAGCUCCUUUAUUUGUGACUUCCACUAAAAAACUGAUGAAAAUAAGUUUGCCAGGGUUCUGACUGAUAACAGAUUAUUAAAUAAUGAAAAUAACUGUUUAAAUAUUCCUUUAAACAAUCCUUUUAGGUCUACAUUUCCUUUACACUGACUUCUUGGUAUUUUGGGUGGAAUAUAUCAUCAGACUAACCUCCAAGGUCUACAGUCGUGAAUUUUAUGUCGAAUGUACCAUUAAACUCACCUUUUAGGUCUACAUUGGAGGAUUUUAGGUGGAAUUCUCUUCCAAACUGUCUUUUAGUCUACAUUUAAGGAUGUUUAGGAUGGUAUAUUCUUCCGAACCAACUUCUCAGGUCUACAUUUCAGGUGGAAUAUUCCUCCAUACUAACUUUUUUGGUCUACACUGAAGGAUUUUUUCUAAACAACCCUUUCGGGUCUAUAUUUGAGGUUUUAGGUGGAAUAUUCCUUUUAACCAGCCCCUCAGGUCUCUUUGAGGAUUUUGGAUGGAAUACUCGGUUAAAGCAACAUUUUAGGUGCAUGUCCAAGGGUUUUUGGUAGAAUGUUCCUUUAAGGUGGAUGUUUGAGGACCUUGUAGGUGGAAUACUUCCUGAAACCAACCUUUUAGGUCAACAUUCAAAGAUUUAAGGUGGAAUAUUCCUUUAAACCAACCUAAAUUUCAUGUUUUGAUCGUUAUCAAGUGAGAAACCUCAAUCCAGACUCCUCAUAAUGACAUUUGAGAUUUAUGCUGCUGUUAUUUGUUUAGUCCAGACUAAAUGACAGAAAUCCACAACUGUAAUUUUAUUUCAGGACUCAGUUAUUAAAUUCAAUUCAAUUCAAUUUUAUUUAUAUAGCGCCAAUUACAGUCAAAUUGUCUCGAGACGCUUUACAGAACCAAUAUGCCUGACCUCCAGAGCAAGCCAAAAGGUGACAGUGGCAAGGAAAACACCCUUUUAACAGGGAAAAAAACCUCGAGCAGAACCCGGCUCUAAUGUGGGGGGACCCAUCUGCCUGCUGACCGGGCGGGUUGAGAGGGACAGAAGAGGUAGAGGGGAAGACAAAACAAUCCAUGUGACUCUAAAAACUAAACAGCUGUACAAACUCUAAGAUUAAACUCUCCACAAGGAGCCAAAAUAAGUUGGACUUCUACAUGAGAGCUUUAAUUAUUCUUCAUCUACUUCCUGAAAAAUUUGGUCAAUAAAAAAGGCAAAAACUAAUAUUUUCAGCUGAACGAAAGACAGACUGUGAUUUUUCUGCUCACAUGUGUUGUUGUAAACUUGCUCUUUCAAAUAAAUAGCCGCCUAACCCCC
ensembl:lncRNA